AGCUCCAAUAGCGUAUAUUAAAGUUGUUGCAGUUAAAAAGCUCGUAGUUGAACUUCUGUUGCAGCUCACCGGUGUGGCUUCACAGCCGACUACCAGGUGUAGCUGUAGCAUUUUCUAGCAAUCAUGUCUGCACUUCACUGUGUGGUAUGUGAGAGCUGGAACUUUUACUUUGAGAAAAUUAGAGUGUUCCAAGCAAGCCCUCGCUGUGAAUACUCCAGCAUGGAAUAAUAUAAUAAGAUUUGGGUCUUAUUUGUUGGUUUCUAAGGCCGAGAUAAUGAUUGAUAGGGACAGUUGGGGGCAUUCGUAUUUAACUGUCAGAGGUGAAAUUCUUGGAUUUGUUAAAGACGAACUACUGCGAAAGCAUUUGCCAAGGAUGUUUUCA
rnacentral:rRNA from 1 species